rnacentral:hammerhead_ribozyme from 1 species
UUCCAGCUGAUGAGUUCCAAAUAGGACAAAGCGCGUGUCCUGCAU